rnacentral:rRNA from 1 species
UAAGCUCCGGAUAGCCGCUAACAGGCUUUGACACGGAGAUCUCCGAAUCGGGAAACCGAGCAGGGUCUUCCUGCUAGAUAUGCGAUGAAUCCAUAGUUGCAUGUCUGCCAACCCAGGGGAAACUGAAACAUCUAAGUACCUGGUGGAAAAGAAAACAAGAGUGAUUCCCCUAGUAGUGGCGAGCGAACGGGGACCAGCCCAAACCUAUUCAUGCAAGUGAAUGGGGGUUGUAGGGCCGGAGUAGUGGGACUGCAGACGUUAGACGAACCGCUUGGGACGGCGGGCCAUAGAGGGUGACACGCCCCUUAGUCGAAAACGCGAGCAGCCCUAUCCGGUACCUGAGUACCGCAGGACACGUGCAAUCCGGCGGGAAUCCGGGGGGACCCACCCCCCAAGGCUAAAUACUCCUCACUGACCGAUAGUGAACUAGUACCGCGAGGGAAAGGCGAAAAGAACCCCCGGCGAGGGGAGUGAAAUAGAAUCUGAAACCGUGCGUCUACAAGCAGU